UGGGGAAUAUUGGACAAUGGGCGAAAGCCUGAUCCAGCAACGCCGCGUGAGGGAUGACUGCCUUCGGGUUGUAAACCUCUUUCAGCGGGGACGAAGCGCAAGUGACGGUACCCGCAGAAGAAGCACCGGCCAACUACGUGCCAGCAGCCGCGGUAAUACGUAGGGUGCGAGCGUUGUCCGGAAUUAUUGGGCGUAAAGGGCUCGUAGGCGGUUUGUCACGUCGGGAGUGAAAACUCAGGGCUCAACCCUGAGCCUGCUUCCGAUACGGGCAGACUAGAGGUAUGCAGGGGAGAACGGAAUUCCUGGUGUAGCGGUGAAAUGCGCAGAUAUCAGGAGGAACACCGGUGGCGAAGGCGGUUCUCUGGGCAUUACCUGACGCUGAGGAGCGAAAGUGUGGGGAGCGAACA
rnacentral:rRNA from 1 species